GGGGCCCACCGCACCAGUGCCAGUUGUUCACGUUGGUCCCGUCCUCCCGCUCCUCCACGAUCCAGCGCGGGUCCCCCUGGCCCCACUUGGCCAUGGCGGCGCUGACGACGACGGCCCUGGUAGCGGGAGCGCGCGGGUUUCCGGCCAGAAGUGAUCCUCUAGAGACAAAAGAUCGUGCUUGCAAGUGCCUGGGAUUGUGGAUACAGUUACAAUAAGGGUUUAUUAAUUCUUUCCAUCGUUUUUCACCUUCUAGCAAAAACUGAAGCCACCAUCUGGAAAGUGUUUCUUAGGAGAUUAUUUUAACAAAUAAAAUAGGUAGUUCAAUGGGAGAUGGGGAAGGACCUGGCUGCUCUGUGCACUUGCCAUUCAGUGGUCUGCUUAUCAGCAAAACAAGCUGAAAGGGCUAUGGUGUUUAUUGGAGCUAUUGCAUUUCGAUGUGUUCUUCGAGAAGUUACAUCAUUCAAACUGCUGAAGCAAUGCUGUGACCCCCCCCCCCAAAUCAAACGGCAUUGUUAGUUCAACUGAUCAUACCAAAGGCACAGCUGACAGAAGGCAAGACUCUAGCGAUGAUUGGCGUGUACUUUGUGUGCCUACUUUUCAUCCAGUUCUUCUGUUUGCUCCUGAUAAAACAUUUCAUGAUAAGAUUUAGAUAUGUUCAUUUGAACCUGACAGAAAAUAAGACUUCUGAGGGUAGAAGCUGCUACAAUCACUAAAAUGUAUAAAUACCAAAAUAUACAAGAACUACUCCCAGUAGAAAUAAAUUUACUGGAAUGUAACUCGAUUGUGAGUCUAGGAGACCAAUGGACCCUGAAGCACUCUUCAGAUCUGCGAUUUAAAAAUGACCUCCAAUAAGACAUUGCAAAAAUGGGAAAGAAACAAUGGAAAAAGUAAAAGAGUGGGGAAGGUGGCCCCGAAAGAAACUGUCCUAGAAAAAGUACUGGGUCAAUAGCUAGUGAACAAAACCAUGGUGUUCCCACACCCCCUGGGGGGGGCAUUUAUAGACCAUAACAAUAAUUGAGACAUUUAAGCAAUUUCAGAUGUCCAAAGUUAAUUGAAGCUUUCUUUAAUUUUCAAGAAAUGAUAAAACAAUGGAAAAAGAAAAUCCUUGCCUGGCAGUGAGUCUGAAGACAGCUGAUCAAAGGGGAAGAAGUCCAGCCACAGAUGGAAGAGAGAUGACCUGGACAGUGGGCUGCAGUGGGAAGGAAGCCAUGAUUUCAGGACAUGAAAAGUGGAGUCACACGAGGCUCACUGGGUGCUGGUGGGAGGCAGAGGGGUGUACCCUUAAACUGUAAUUGUUUGGUGUAAACAGACUGAAUUUGUGUCCUUCUCCAAAACAUGGGCUUGAUAAUUGUG